rnacentral:rRNA from 1 species
GCCAGCAGCUAUAUCACCCUGCAGCUCUCAACUGUCUUCCCACUGAAGCUCAGCAGGGAUGAGCCUUGGACAGUACCUGGAUGGGAGACCUCCUGGGAAGCUAUGGUUGCUGCUGGAA